CACACCCCGUCUCCCAGGCCACAGCAUAGCAACCGAACAUGGCGGCUGCGCAGACGCCGCCACUCAGCGGCCAGGAGCGGCGGCGGCCGCAACUGGAGGCGAUCUCGCGAGAGGGGAGGCCAAAAACCCUCCCAGCUAGAGCCGACAGGAGAGGUUGCACCCGCGCGCGAGCGGGGGGACACGCAGGUGCGAAGGAGGCCGGACCUGGCAGAAGAACCACGUUGACAAUCCCUGGGAUCAAGAACUAUAUAGAAAAAUGUAAAACUUUAAAAAAUCCAAGACUUCCUCCUGCUUUCGCACUCUAAAGGUGUGUGGCCAAAAAGUUUGAGUGCCUCUGGUCUGCGGGAGAGUUAAGAAGUAAAUAAAACAGUACAAAUUCGUAGAAGUGCUUUCAUAGAUUAAACUCCAUGAGGGCAGGAACCAUGGCUCACCAUUAUUUCCUCACAGACCGGUCUGGUUUGGUAAUGUCUGGUCUAUAAUCAGCCCUCAGUUGUUAUUCUCCCAUAAAGGAAGGGAUGAGAUGGGCCCAGAAGGCUAGGGAAAUCAGUGAAAGGAGACCAGAUGACUAGACACAUUGUGCCUUAGGUUUUGCCUGGCUUCCACUGGGAGCGUGGACUGCAGGGACAAGAUUUGGAGAUGAAAUGAUCUGGUGGAGAAUUGAAGGCUGGGCAGAGCCUCGAGAGGGAAGCCUGAGGGACCUUGAGUGACAUCUAGUGGCUUCUGUGACCAAAUGGGAGGAACCAGCCUGAGGAAUCUCCAUUCAGGAGGAAUAUUAUUGGAUGUGCUGUAUGUAUAAAGAAGAAGAAGAAGGAGAAGAAAAAGAAGAAGAAGAGAAAAAAGAAGAGAAAGAAGAAGAGGAAGAAGGAGAAGAAGAAGAAGGAGAAAAGAAAAAGGAAAAGAUGGGCUCAUCCCCACAUAAUGUAUAAAUGUUCCUUUAUUUGUAGAUGAAUACUGCGUUUUAAUGGUCUAUACUCUUUUUUUUUAUGUGUUGGCUUUAUCCAUAGGAGCUUUAACAACAGAUUAGAAAAUCUUGAUUAAUCUUAAUGCCUUUGUAGCAUGCACCUGGCACAGCAUUUUUAGAUGUGCUGUUGACUGGCUGACAUGUCUUGGUCAUUCAUUCAACCUGUGGUCAUUGAUUGGUUACCACCCACAUUAAGGAUUCUCCUCCCUGGCCUCACAUUAGAAGCACUAAGGAAGUUUUUAAUAAAUACAGAGGAGUUGGGGCACCUGAGGCUCCACCGUUUAAGCGUCUGA